rnacentral:rRNA from 1 species
CGUUAGCGGCGGACGGGUGAGUAACACGUGGAUAACCUACCUAUAAGACUGGGAUAACUUCGGGAAACCGGAGCUAAUACCGGAUAACAUAUUGAACCGCAUGGUUCAAUAGUGAAAGGCGGCUUUGCUGUCACUUAUAGAUGGAUCCGCGCCGUAUUAGCUAGUUGGUAAGGUAACGGCUUACCAAGGCAACGAUACGUAGCCGACCUGAGAGGGUGAUCGGCCACACUGGAACUGAGACACGGUCCAGACUCCUACGGGAGGCAGCAGUAGGGAAUCUUCCGCAAUGGGCGAAAGCCUGACGGAGCAACGCCGCGUGAGUGAUGAAGGUCUUCGGAUCGUAAAACUCUGUUAUCAGGGAAGAACAAAUGUGUAAGUAACUGUGCACAUCUUGACGGUACCUGAUCAGAAAGCCACGGCUAACUACGUGCCAGCAGCCGCGGUAAUACGUAGGUGGCAAGCGUUAUCCGGAAUUAUUGGGCGUAAAGCGCGCGUAGGCGGUUUUUUAAGUCUGAUGUGAAAGCCCACGGCUCAACCGUGGAGGGUCAUUGGAAACUGGAAAACUUGAGUGCAGAAGAGGAAAGUGGAAUUCCAUGUGUAGCGGUGAAAUGCGCAGAGAUAUGGAGGAACACCAGUGGCGA